GCAGGGCAAAUGUAACCAAUUUAUUAAUGUUAAAAAAAAACCAAUGUGUGAAAUUGGACCAAGAGGAGAGGGGCCAGCUGCCCCCUUCUUCCCACUCCGAGCUCUUUGCCAGUGGCAGGAGGAGGGUGAGGUACAAAGGAUUCCGUCCUUUGCAGGAAGGCAUUGCUAUCCUAAUCGCAUGUGAUAGCGACAACAAAUCCACUGGGCCAGAGCUUCAAAGGGCUGGGAGAUAAUUGCAUCCAUCAUCCCCAGCCUGUGGCUGUGAUGCCUGCAGCUUAGAGGGUGUGAAGCGCUGGUUAAGAAGCUGAGGAAGCUGCUCUUCCUGUCUGCUCCAUCUAUUCCCUAUCCUCACCGUGGAGACCAGGUGGUCACGGAUCCGGUUGUGUCCCCACGGAGACUGCUGUCACAGCCUUUUCCUGUCGAUGUUUAUAGCUAUUUUCACUUCCGGUCUAGCAAAGGAGACGGUGUCUUCAGUGUACGUUCCUAUUGCCAUAGAUUUACCCUCUAACAGUUCUGAAAAGUGAGACAGGUUUGCCGUCCCUCUACUGUAGCAGUGAAAGACCCUCAAUGACUUGGAAAUUGAGAUGUCAUCUGAAAAUCUGCCCAUCUCUCUCUGGACAAGCCACAGUUCAGUCACUUGUGGUGGCUACUACACAGCAAACAGCACAGCUCCACAGAUGCCUACCUUCACUGGUCAGUGCCACCAGCUAACAUCUGAACAGCCUUUACAAGGAAUCCUUAUUGUCAUUAGGUCAUUUGUAAUGGCCAUGUUGUGCUGGGGAACAAAGCUUGAAGAAAGAGAAAGCUCACCGAGAGAAACGAAGGCAGUUCUUUCACUAGAAGAAGACAGGGCUCUCACCCCAUUCCUCCUAUCUGACCUCAGUCCUUGAUAGAAACCAGAAAUGGUGAAAUUGAUAUUUUCUGAAUGGAAAAGAAAACACGAGGUUAUUUUAAGUGCAUAAAAUUAAGUAUAGGUUUCAAACAAUGAAUUAAGGGUGUAUUGUGAUAACUGAAUUAUGGGAUAUGACAAGUGAAACGAACAAAAGGAUACUUGAGAAGCGUAUGAAAGCUUACUCCUUUUGAGUAUCAAGUAAAAGUCUACUUCUCAGAUGAGAUUACCAGGGAUUGUAACUUAAGAAUUAAAAUGCACUCAACUAUAUUUUAAAUUUUUUGUUUGAUUUUAAAUAAACAUUCACUUGGUUAAGAAAAUAUCUAAAGCUAUGUUUCAUAUGAAUACCACUUUUAAAGAAUUAGAUACAAGUUUACUUAUACUUGAAUCUCAUGGUGACUUUCAGAAGUUUUUUUUUAUUAGAAAAGCAAAAGGCAAAAGACAGGCAACUUUCGGGAUAUAUAAUUUAGGUAGAGAGAAAGUCAGCCUGUUAACAUAGAGUUGAUGAUAUUUGGGAGAAAAAAAUCAGAAAAUUUAAGUGUUUAUAACCAAAAUCUAUAAAACAUUUUUAAGAGUUUUUUACUUUUAAAUAUUAAAAUCUGUAGUUAUGUUUAUUAUCCUCUCAUAUCUUAACUAAGAAAAUAUCAGGUACUAGAUUCAGAUUCUUCAGGAUAGGACAGAUAUUGGAGUAAUCUCUAUAAUUUAUCAUUUACCUAUGGUCUGGACAUUUAAUAUGUGUUUCUUACUUGAUGUUGUUCUUAUUGUUGUAGUUCCACUUUUGCUUAUGUUAUUACCUUUUCUUUCUCCUGGACAAUACUUGAUAAUCAUUCUUAUUGUAUAUAGUUUUGUAUUAGGUUUAUAACCUUCUUAUUUAGACACAAAGGGGGAGGUAAACUGGUUAUUUGUUCCACUAUCUGGCCUGAUAGUGUCCGUGCUUCUAUCUGAGGAUGUGAACUCUUAAAAAGAAAGAAGGGAGGAGAUUGCACUCUCCUGGGUGGUGAAGACUAGGUCAGGCAGCAGAAAGCAGGUGUGAUCAGUCCCCAGUUUUCCAAGGACUUUGCAACUGGAUUUACCAUAUCCUGUAUUUUUCCCUGUUUAGUAUCUAAAUAAAUCCUUA